rnacentral:lncRNA from 1 species
AGAGGCUCAGGGAGUGGGGCUGGCAGGCUUUGGUCUCUGCUGGUCUCCCAGCCUGCGGCUGAUGCACGUCUGUUGAAUUUUGCAACAGUCCCCAUCCCUCAAGGAGGUGGUGAGUCCUAGCCAUGUUCUUGGCUCCUCUUUUCUGAUGGGAUGAGACAGGGGAGAGUAACGCGAAAAUGUGGUACAGGAUGCCGAAGUGCUUGUCAGCGCUGGGGGUAUAAUAGGGCCCCCACAGGUGUCAGCCCAGGAUGCCUCUAUGGCCUGGGUCCUUGGCAGAACAUUCUGGGGAGAAACUGGAGCGGGAGGAUGUGUUCAUUCUCAACUCUGUGGGGCCUCGUCACGAAAAAACAUUUCUCUCUAACUUAGGUGCUUACCCUGGCAAAA